UUUCCUUUUCCCUUAAAGGAGUUCUGUCAUGUGAUUUAGGUCCCCAAUGAGACAUUGCUUAGACCUGAUAGAAAUCAUUCAUACUAUGUUCUCCAGAAUCCAAAUAGUCAGACAAGGGUAAGUUAAAUCCAUCACGCUGCUGAAAAGACAUGAAAUGCAACAGCUACCACUGCAUCCUGUAAUUCUUUGGUUCUCCAGGAUGAGAGGCUCUUUUCCAGACAGCACAGCAGGGAGGUAAGUUAAUUAGCAAGUAUUCUUCCAAGAAACAGGCUGACGUCAUUAAGGACACUUGUGAUGAACUCAGAGUAAAGUAAAGCAAUAGCCAUCCUGGUGCUUUGAGCUAGAAGGGAAAAGAAGAGUGAAACCAUAUUAAAAUGGCUAUUAAGACUGAAAUCAAAGCUCUCAAGAGUGGCAGCAGAGAUCUGCUCUUGGUUUUGAGUCACACCAGCUCUGACCCUGUUCCCCCAGGAUUAGGAACGCCCUUUAUAGGAAUGCCCCAAAGAUUUGGGUCUUGAGACUCAGAGGGCUGGAAGGUCUUCCUGCAUCCAGUAAGCAGCACAUUAGAAGUCAUGCCAUGGUCUCUAACAAAGCCCGUUUCUCCUCCGCUCUAUACGGCAGCAUAGGCUGAAAGCAGAUGGCCUUGGCUCUGCCGUGACUCCAACACAGGGUGUUUUACAACACCUGGCAACACCAGUGCAUCAUUGCAUUUAUUAUUUUGAUCACCAAUUUAUUAUUUCUGAUCAUUUUCUGUGUUGCUGAGGAGUGUGGAGGCUCCUAUGGAAACUGGGGAUGGAGCUCACUCCCAGUAAGCAAUGAUGGGAGAUAAAUGCAUAGAGUAUUAGAUUAAAAUAAUGGUGAAGGCAAAGUAUAGAAUUUUUAAAUUACUACAUUUACUAUUGCAUGUGAAAGGAAUCCGUGGGUGCCGAAACCAUGCUCUUAGGUGCUAUUUCAAAUUAACGCUUGGAGUAACCAUGUAUUCCUGGUGUACCAGUUACUUAAACUUAAGUCUGCCUGAAUCUUGUAAUAAGACUUUGUGUUGCUGAGUGUUAGGUCAGCAUGGGAUUCCAAAGCCAAGCAGAAUUACUUGACAGAAUGGCCCUUGCAUAGAUUCAUAUCCUGGUUUUGAGCUCUUCUCUGAUUCACACAUUAAACACAAAUAGUUGCAUCCUGUCUUGCCUACUGUAAUCACACAGAAACAUGGGUUUCAAUGCCAGCGGACAUAUAUUUAAAGCUUGCAUUGGAAAUUUAUUUCUGCACUUCACCUGGGAAACAAAAAAAGCCAUAAAGAGAAAUAAAGACCUUUAUAACAUUUGAUGAAGAUUCACAGAAGCCACAAAGGAACAAGUACUGCACAAAAGGCAAGUUUUGCAAUUUGCCUUUUUCAUUUCCACCCAUGAAUUAUUUUGCUUCAGCUAUAGAGGCAAUGCAAGUUCUCGGCAUGCAAACAAGCUCUGAUGCAAGUCUUCACGGCCAGGAGCUGCUCCUAAAUUCAAUGGAAACCUUCCUGGGCUGGGCUGCUCUGCCAGGGAGAAUUGAGCAGCACUACCAGGGCCUGAAGAGAGUUGAUAGAGAUGCCUGUAUGUUCACGGAUGUCAUAGAUAUCACCCUCCAAGUGAUUCUUUUGUACUAUAUAUUCACCUGUGACUUUCUGCAGAUGACCAGGAAGGACUUCAAAGGCCUUCUAUGAAGAUGACUAUCUGAAAUGCAUCCAUCUAGACUUGGCUUCUUUCUAUUCAUUAUGCCUUCUGCUAGGCAGCUUCACCCCACCAGGUAAACCUCACGUGUCUUCCCUCUGUGUCCUUCCAUCGUUACCAUCACCAGACACUUCCAGGUACACUGUAACAAAUUAGACAGCACCAUAUCCAGGAACAAUUACUCAUAACCAAGGGUUACUCUGGCGAAGCUGCUUUUCCAUUGUCAGCUAUGAAGGUAUUUUCUCAGUGUAUAAAAGUGUCAUACAAGGUCAGGGCCUCGCUGGUGUCUGGGUUUACCAAACCCAAUGUCUUUGAGAGAUUUUGACUGUGCCCAAAAUAGAAGACAAAGGCACUGUGGCAAUUGAUCCAACACCCAUCUGUUCAGAGCCAGUGAUUUGAAACUCCUUGUUCACUUUCUCCCAAAAUUUGAGGAAGGCUGGAAGUGACUGUGCUCAUUUCUGUUGAAAACAAGGAAUUGAGGAAUGUGUUGGCACAAGGGAAGGUUUCACAUAUUCACAGUAGCCUGCAGUACAAUGCAAGUUUUCUGUAAGAUAGUCCUUAUUCUGAUUUAUUAGUUCACAAAUCUAUCUGAAAAGUGAUCAGAAAGUAUAUUGGAAAAGAUAUUAGCUAAGUUACCAGAGUUUUCACUAUUCCAAAGCAUAUUUAAACUCCUCUAGUUCCAACUCAAAAGGCUGUGCUGUGCUGCCUCACCAGGCUUCAAGUGUUGGGUGGAGAUAUUCGUUCAUUAAGGAGCAAAAGCAUGGGAAAAGAUUACCUCUGGAUUUCAUUUGGUGUUACAUGGAGAUUUUUGGCUUCUUCCUCUCCUCGGAGGCAUAGAUCCAGGGAAAACAAUGUCCAGGAAAGGAAAACAAGGAAGAAAGCACAGAGAAUUACUUAGCUAAUGAAGAGGAAUGGCUGACUUGUCCUGCAAGAGGGCAGUUAGCAGGGACACAUCCCCUCUGGGCUCACCCAGUGAAGAACAGACACCAACACAGACCACUAAAAGGUGAGCAUCGGUGGAGUGACGCUGCAGUUUCUCCAGCUGUGUUUUGUGAGCAUAAUCGAGAUUUCUGUAGUGCCAGUGCUCACAAAACAUCAAAUGGCUCUGACUAUCCAUCUGGAACCGAAACCAUUACAUCCUCCCUGUAUGGCUCUUAGGGGCAGCACAGAACUCAGGACGCAGAUUUGUAUGAUAUAGCGAGGAGAACCAAUCAGAAAAAUGAUGUUAGUGCCGCAUCCUGUCUGAUAAAAGAGCCCAGCAAACAUCCAAAGCACCAUGAUGGUACCGCUGUCUGUCCUCCCUCCCUCCCCACUUCCCUGUCCAUCCUUUCCUAUCCUGACAUUUUGAGACAAGGCACCGAAUGAUCCCUUUUCAAAUGUUACUUUUUCUCCCUGAAUUAUUAUGUUUUUACAGUACGGCAAUUUUAUAAUUAAGAUUAAAUACUUUGUGUAAUUGUUUUGGCUUUUUUUUCCCCCCUCUCAAACAAAAUGGAACCAAGGUUCAAAUCCAGAAAUGCUGUGAAAGGGGAUUUCUAUUCUCCGUGUAGAUGAAUGUAACUAUGAUCAGAGGAAAUAAAACGUAGAGCAAAAAUGCUCUGGAUACAUUGAGGUAGAUUUAUCACCAUAAAUCAUUUGCAUAAAUAAAGGUAAGUUGAUUGUAAUCACUUGAGUAUUUCCUGUAGCUGAAGUUUUACUCUAUUUGUCUUUAUUUCUGCUGUAGUUUCAUCAGCACAAAAAGAUCAAGGAAGCAGUAAUAAAGAAAAAAACAGCACAAAAAAUACCCACAAAAAAAAAGAGCAACAGUAGAUCCAGCCGCUUAGCAGUGGGUGCUUUAUUUUCUCCAUAAUAUUUUCAGAGUGUUUGGGGGAGUAAUUUCAAACAGUCAAGUCAGAGUCCAUUGAGAAUUGAUUUUUGUGACCUCACAUAGUGUAACAGAAAAUUAUAACAGGAAAUAAACCAUUAAGUGAUAAACAAGGAAACAUGGAUACAAUUACUUUCAGAACAUAAUUUUAUUCACUCUAGUUUUGAAAAUGAAGAGAUAGUACUGACUGGAACACCUCAAUUCUGAAUGCAAACUGUACAAUCUAUUAUAUUAAACAAAGUCAAAAGCAAUGUGAAAGAUCUUGAAUCUAUUCAAGGCAUGCACCUCAUUACAGACUUAGCAAAUUAAAACACAAAUAGGAUUAGAAAAGAAUAAUGUAACAAUCUCCCACCAUGGUCCCUGGAGCAUUAAGUCAUAAAUUGGGUUUGCAUUAAAUUGUGCCUGCAGUAUUGAAUUCAGGGAAAGAGCUAUAGGCUGAAGAUAAACCUCGCUAGGCUGGCCAACUUUGGUAUGGCUGUGUGAUUUCAUAAAAACACAAUGAAUCUGUUGGAAUCUAAAAAGGCACAUUCAACGACAUGUAUUUCAUAUCUUAAUUAGAAAACGCAGAUAUGGGGUAGCAAUCUCUGGCUGCAAGAGGUAUAAACCCAGCCAAAAGCUGCAGACAUUUGAAACUGUCACUUCACCUGGAGGUGUUGUUUAAAUAAGGUAAUUCAGCACUUCGUGGCAUCACCUGCUGUGUUAAACUACACAAGUUUCCUGCUUUGCACAAAGCUCUAGUGUGCCCUGAGCUUCUUUUAGCUGGAAGAAACAAUCUUACCCCAAAAGAGCUGAGAGAAGCUGAGUUUCUGAUACAAAUGCAUUCUGUUGUUAUGGGAACUAAAAUGGUGAGCGAUGUGAAAAGGAUCCCUCGCUAACAAAGACCGGCUUGAUGAUAUUAUGGCAGCAGCUAUGCAAAAAGCAAAUAUAUCUGCAAGAAACAAACAGAGCUUCUCCAAAGAAGACGCAGGUUCCUG
ensembl:lncRNA